rnacentral:rRNA from 1 species
AAUAACCUGCCGAAAGGCACGUUAAUACCGCAUGAUAUAAACGGGUGAUGCCCGUUUAUUAAAGCCUUACGGCGCUUGCANAUGGGCUUGUGGCCUAUCCNGUAGUUGGUGGGGUAAAGGCCUACCAAGCCGAUGACGGGUAGCUGGUCUGAGAGGAUGGUCAGCCCGAUGGGGAUUGAGAUACGGCCCCUACUCCUACGGGAGGCAGCCUACAGGAAUAUUGGGCAAUGGGCGAAAGCCUGACCUAGNGACACCGCGUGAGGGAUGACGGCCUUCGGGUUGUAAACCUCUUUUCUCAAGGAAGAAGUUUGACGGUACUUGAGGAAUAAGCCUCGGCUAACUAC